rnacentral:rRNA from 1 species
UACGUAGGGUGCAAGCGUUGUCCGGAAUUAUUGGGCGUAAAGAGCUCGUAGGCGGUCUGUCGCGUCUGCUGUGAAAACUCAGGGCUUAACCCUGAGCUUGCAGUGGGUACGGGCAGACUAGAGUGCGGUAGGGGAGACUGGAAUUCCUGGUGUAGCGGUGAAAUGCGUAGAUAUCAAGAGGAACACCUGCGGCGAAGGCGGGUUGCUGGGCCGACACUGACGCUGAAGCGCGAAAGCCAGGGGAGCGAACGGG